rnacentral:rRNA from 1 species
GAUGAACGCUGGCGGCGUGCCUAAUACAUGCAAGUCGAGCGAACGGACGAGAAGCUUGCUUCUCUGAUGUUAGCGGCGGACGGGUGAGUAACACGUGGAUAACCUACCUAUAAGACUGGGAUAACUUCGGGAAACCGGAGCUAAUACCGGAUAAUAUUUUGAACCGCAUGGUUCAAAAGUGAAAGACGGUCUUGCUGUCACUUAUAGAUGGAUCCGCGCUGCAUUAGCUAGUUGGUAAGGUAACGGCUUACCAAGGCAACGAUGCAUAGCCGACCUGAGAGGGUGAUCGGCCACACUGGAACUGAGACACGGUCCAGACUCCUACGUGAGGCAGCAGUAGGGAAUCGUCCGCAAUGGGCGAAAGCCUGACGGAGCAACGCCGCGUGAGUGAUGAAGGUCUUCGGAUCGUAAAACUCUGUUAUUAGGGAAGAACAUAUGUGUAAGUAACUGUGCACAUCUUGACGGUACCUAAUCAGAAAGCCACGGCUAACUACGUG